AAACCAGCUAAAAUACAACAGAAGUCAACGAGUCCGGAUGAUGGAGCUGCUUCAAGUUCUCCAUUGCUUUCUAAGUCUAGAAAUAACCAUGGUGUCUCUGGUGUUAAACCUCUAAAAACAGCUGAUCUACCUGAAUCAUUGAGGCCAACUAAUUGCCAUGCAAUAGAGAUUUCUGAAGCUGGUGAAACUCUACCAACAAACAGCGGCAACCUCCCAGAAGCUGUAGUGAAAAAUAGUGAUGCUGGCAAGGAUUCAGAUAAGGUAAAGGAUAGCAAUUUGCAAAGACAGUGUCAGAGAAUGUUAGUGUCAAAAAACCUGAGUGUUGAGGGCAAGCCAAAAAUGGGAAACCGAAGAAAAA
rnacentral:misc_RNA from 1 species